ACCCUCCGCCCUCUGCCUCCUGCCUCGAACCCCCAGAUCCAAUCCACACAACACCGCCGCCCCCGCACCCCGUACUGUCCACCAUGGCCGCCUCCUCCUCCUCCUCGCUCCGGAUCCCCACACCAACCCACCACCUCGCCGUGGGGGCGUGUCCGCGGCGGCUGCCCUUCCACGUCGUCUCCCCACAGCAGGCGCCGGCACCGGGCGACGGCGACGACGCCAACGGGCCCACCGGCGUGCCCGUGCCCUUCUACCGUGCGGGCAGCUGUUCCGGCGGGGGUCGACGCCGCAGGUGGUGCGCGAGGAGGUGGACGACUUCCUGUGCUCCGAGAGGGGCUGCCGCCGUCGCGUGCUGCCGGAACAAGCAGCAGGGGAGCUUCUGCUUGGCGCAUGCGUCUCCUUCCUUCGGCAGAAGUAGCAGGUGAGGAAGAACCAGCUGCCGACGGGCGAGGGCAUGGGGUACCUGGAGGCCAAGCACCACCUGCUGCUCUUGUCUCACCCAUAACUUGGUUUAUAUGCAUGAUAAUGUCGAGAGCCGAUGACGACACGGUGAUGGAGGCGGUGGACUCGGAGGUGUCGGUGACGUGCACGGACAUGGGGCUGGUCCAGAAAGCGUUCCAGGCCCUGCUGUGCACCAAGCGGCACCCCAUUGACCAGCCGAUGAUGCACGAGGUGGCCCGGGUGCUGCUCUCGCUCAUGCAGCUCCUGCCCUCCAGAGAACAAUCAUGGUGUCUAUUUCUGCUUUAUGCCCCACGUUUCACUAAUAACAUGCCCAACUUCUUGCUCUAUAGGAAAUAA
rnacentral:rRNA from 1 species